rnacentral:rRNA from 1 species
AUGACCCACAUGCUCGCGGAGGGGCUGGCCGACGAGGAGAUCAUCGACAACGUCAUGUUCAUGAUGGUAGCGGCGCACGACACCACCGCCAGCCUCUUCACCUUCCUCCUCCGGCACCUCGAUGGCAACCGGGACGCCUACGGCAGAGUCGUGGCAGAGCAACAAGAGGUCGCCAGGAGCAAGGCUCCGGGUGAAGCUCUGUCAUGGGACGACCUCGCCAAGAUGAAGUACACAUGGUCGGCGGCGAUGGAGACCCUCCGCCUGGUACCUCCCGUGUUCUCCAUGCUCAAGAGGGCGGUCGAAGACGUGGAGUUUGAUGGCCACCUCAUCCCCAAGGGAUGGCAGGUGCUGGGGGCGAUGAACCUGACGCAGCAGGACCCGGCCAUCUUCCCUGAGCCAAGCAGAUUCGAGCCGGCGAGGUUCGAGAGCCCGAUACCACCCUACAGCUUCGUGGCGUUCGGCGGCGGCGCGCGCAUGUGCCCGGGCAACGAGUUCACUAGGGUGGAGACGCUGGUGGCCAUGCACUACAUCGUCACCAGGUUCGAGUGGAAGCUCGACGAAGGCUGCGACGGCAGCUUCUCCAGGUACCCGAUGCCGUCCCCUGCUCGGGGGCUCCUCAUCGACAUCGAGCCAAUAGACACAACCACCACAGGUGCAGCAGGCAUCAGCAAAUGA